CAUGAGUACAAACUUAACAGCCUUGAACUUCGAUCAACACAGGAAUCUAUCUUCAAACGAAAUUAACGAAACAGAAUUUACAAGAAAAGUAAAAUACAACCCA